CCUACGGGCGGCAGCAGUGAGGAAUAUUGGUCAAUGGACGAGAGUCUGAACCAGCCAAGUAGCGUGAAGGAUGACUGCCCUAUGGGUUGUAAACUUCUUUUAUAUGGGAAUAAAAUGUUCCACGUGUGGGAUUUUGUAUGUACCAUAUGAAUAAGGAUCGGCUAACUCCGUGCCAGCAGCCGCGGUAAUACGGAGGAUCCGAGCGUUAUUCGGAUUUUUUGGGUUUAAAGGGAGCGUAGGUGGAUUGUUAAGUCAGUUGUAAAAGUUUGCGGCUCAAACGUAAAAUUGAUGUUGAAACUGGCAGUCUUGAGGACAUGAGAGGUGGGGGGAAUUGGGGGUGUAGCGGGGAAAUGCUUAG
rnacentral:rRNA from 1 species